CAAAGCAAGCAUUCAUGUGUAUGGAGUCGGCUGCAUAUGUUCUUUCCCACUGCAACUUGGGAGAACUCCGCGCCUUGGAUUGUGUUAUCAUGGCCUUCCUGGUAUGCAGCCAGUGUCAUAGAAAGAAAUCUCAUGUUGCUGUUAGAAAACAAGCAUCGCUCUUGGCCAAUGAAAGUGCAUGUGUAGCUGAAGAGAUGGCUCAGUGGUUAAAAGCACCUGUCCUAUGACUCACAAUCAUCUGUAACCGAGUCCAGCUUCAGGGGUUGCAAUGCUGCCUUCUGGCACCCACAGGUACCUGCAUGUACAUGUGCAGACACACAAAACACCAUAAAUAAAAAUUGGGUCUUUUAAAA